rnacentral:rRNA from 1 species
UACGGGGGGGGCAAGCGUUGUUCGGAAUUACUGGGCGUAAAGGGCUCGUAGGCGGCCAACUAAGUCAUACGUGAAAUCCCUCGGCUUAACCGGGGAACUGCGUCUGAUACUGGAUGGCUUGAGAUUGGGAGAGGGAUGCGGAAUUCCAGGUGUAGCGGUGAAAUGCGUAGAUAUCGGAAGGAACACCAGUGGCGAAAGCGGCUUCCUGGUCCAGCACCGACGUUCAGGCACGAAAGCGUGGGGAGCAAACAGG